rnacentral:tRNA from 30 species
GCGGGUGUAGUUUAAUGGUAGAACUUCAGCCUUCCAAGCUGACUGUGAGGGUUCGAUUCCCUUCACCCGCUCCA